rnacentral:rRNA from 1 species
GAUCAUGGCUCAGGAUGAACGCUAGCGAUAGGCUUAACACAUGCAAGUCGAGGGGCAGCAUGGUCUUAGCUUGCUAAGACUGAUGGCGACCGGCGCACGGGUGCGUAACGCGUAUGCAACUUGCCUCACAGAGGGGGAUAACCCGUCGAAAGACGGACUAAUACCGCGUACACUUACAGGAGGGCAUCCUCCAGUAAGGAAAUGAAAUUCGCUGUGAGAUAGGC